rnacentral:rRNA from 1 species
GUGCCAGCCGCCGCGGUAAUACGUAGGGACCAAGCGUUGUUCGGAUUUACUGGGCGUAAAGGGCGCGUAGGCGGCAUGACAAGUCACUUGUGAAAUCUCUGGGCUUAACCCAGAACGGCCAAGUGAUACUGUCGCGCUAGAGUGCGGAAGGGGCAAUCGGAAUUCUCGGUGUAGCGGUGAAAUGCGUAGAUAUCGAGAGGAACACCUGAGGUGAAGACGGGUUGCUGGGCCGACACUGACGCUGAGUGCGCGAAAGCCAGGGGAGCAAACGGGAUUAGAUACCCCCGUAGUCC